AAACUGGAUUUAUUUAAAUCCAUCCCAUAUUUCUUAUUCUUUGCCAU
rfam:Homo sapiens chromosome 2, GRCh38 reference primary assembly.